CUACGGGCCGCAGCAGUGAGGAAUAUUGCACAAUGGGGGGAACCCUGAUGCAGCAACGCCGCGUGGAGGAUGACGCAUUUCGGUGUGUAAACUCCUUUUAUAUGUCAAGAAAAUGACGGUAGCAUAUGAAUAAGCACCGGCUAACUCCGUGCCAGCAGCCGCGGUAAUACGGAGGGUGCAAGCGUUACUCGGAAUCACUGGGCGUAAAGGACGCGUAGGCGGGUUGGAAAGUCAGGUGUGAAAUCCUACAGCUUAAACUGUAGAACUGCACUUGAAACUUCUAAUCUAGAGUAUGGGAGGGGGGGAUGGAAUUAGGGGUGUAGGGGUAAAAUCCGUAGAUAUCACUAGGAAUACCUAAAGCGAAGGCGAUCUCCUGGAACAUUACUGACGCUAAGGCGUGAAAGCGUGGGGAGCAAACAGGAUUAGAUACCCCUGUAGUC
rnacentral:rRNA from 1 species